rnacentral:misc_RNA from 1 species
GUGCUUUAUAUAUUGCAUCAUUCAUUCCAAAUCGUUACACUGGUGUAUAUGACGACGUAGAAACAAGGAAAGCCCACAAUCAAUUUUGCAAAGCAGUCCUAACAGAGGGGUCUACGCAAGAGGUGCACAAAUAGAUGGAGAAAUGAAGGACAGAAGCGUGCACGGCCACUAGGGCCAGCGACAGCUUUCCAUCGUGCUAUUUCAAUAAUGAUCCUUCCGCAGGUUCACCUACGGAAA